UCUAAUCAGCGUCUACUAUCUCUCUAUAUAUACACAACACUUUAAAAAAUACGAAAAACCAAUAUAGAAUCAUAGAUAUUGAGCAAAAUGGUAAAGCAGGUUUUUUCACAGUUGGGUUUUGUGUUCUUUAUGGUGCUUCUGCUUCUUCUUCGUUGCAACAGUCUUGUUCUUGCUUCUAAACAAGAAUCACUCCCAAGAGCUGGGAGAAGAAUGAGGAGUUAUCAAACAAAUGGUGAGAUCGAUGCAGGCCCAUCUUUCAGUGGCAGAGGUGGUGGUCGCAUUCCAUAAGCUCUCUCUUUCCUCUUCUUCAUUAUCUCUUCACAUUUCAACUUUCCUCUUUAAGUUCUUUAUGUUAUAUUCUGCAAUCUCCUUGAAUUGUUGAUGUAAUCUGCCCACAGUGGUUUCAAAUUAAGUGAUUGGUCGUUGAGUACCAAAUCCACAUCAGAAUCAUAUGGAGCGAGACAAAGAUGAAUAACAAGGAUCAGAAAAUCAAGAAAUAUAUGACAUUUUGAUUUCAAGUUCUUAUGGAAAAUGGCACAAAAAUAAAUAAAAAAAGGUAAAAACUCAAAGAGUUUGAGAAUCAAGAGUGAAACAAAAAGAAAGCAAGUAGAGAUGCUCACUAUAUGAAACUCUCUAAAACCUUAUAAUCAUUCGAGGAUCGUCCCAAUAACUCCAGCACCAACAGUCUUUCCUCCUUCUCUGAUAGCAAACCUCAUCCCUUGUUCACAAGCCACCGGCACAAUAAGCUCAACAACAAUCUUCACUCGAUCACCGGGCAUAACCAUCUUCGACUCUUCAUCUUUGUCGUUCAUGAUCUUCGUCACUUUACCCGUAACAUCAGUCGUCCUCAUGUAGAACUGAGGCCUGUACCCUGCAAAGAAUGGAGAAUGCCUUCCACCUUCCUCUUUCUUCAACACAUAGAUAAUUGCUUCAAACUUGGUAUGUGGAGUAAUCGAUCCCGGCUUAGCUAAAACCAUACCUCUCUGAAUAUCAGCCUUUUGAAUACCCCUAAGCAACAACCCUACAUUGUCACCAGCUAAAGCCUCAUCAAGAAUCUUCUGAAACAUUUCAACCCCAGUGACAGUGUAACUCCUAGUCUCCCUCAAACCCACUAAAUCUACAGUCUCUCCUACCUUAACCGUACCUCUCUCGACACGCCCUGUAGCCACCGUACCACGUCCAGUGAUAGAGAACACAUCCUCAACAGCUAACAAGAAUGGCAAUUCAGUUUGUCUCUGAGGGAUAGGGAUGUAAUCAUCAACAGCAUCCAUAAGUUCAUAAAUCUUAUCUACCCAUUUGUUAUCACCUCUCUUAACCUUAGGAUUCUCAGUAAGAGUCUCAACGGCUAAAAGAGCAGAACCAGAGAUAAUCGGAAUAUCAUCACCGUUAAAUUCAUAAGACGAGAGAAGCUCACGAACCUCAAGCUCAACGAGCUCUAGCAACUCUGCAUCAUCUACUUGAUCCUCUUUGUUAAGAAACACAACCAUAUCAGGAACACCAACCUGCUUAGCCAAAAGGAUAUGCUCUUUAGUCUGAGGCAUAGGACCAUCGGCGCCGGAAACAACGAGGAUAGCUCCGUCCAUCUGUGCAGCUCCGGUAAUCAUAUUCUUAACGUAAUCAGCGUGACCAGGACAAUCAACGUGAGCGUAGUGACGAUUCUCAGUCUCGUACUCAACAGUAGCAGUGUUGAUUGUGAUACCACGAGCUCUCUCCUCCGGCGCAGCGUCAAUCUCGUCGUACUUUUUAGCGACGCUGGAACCAAUGGAAGCGAGAGCCAUGGUUAGAGCUGCGGUUAAAGUAGUUUUCCCAUGGUCAACAUGACCGAUGGUUCCGAUGUUGACAUGAGGCUUCUUCCUCUCGAACUUUCCACGAGCGGCGCGGACGGUGAAGGAGCGACGAGUGGAUUGAGAAGCGGAGGUGGUGGUUAAUGAGUAAGAAGGGAGGAAGGAGGAAGAGAGAGUUAGGGUUUUGAGUUUACCAGAGGUGGAAAUGGCGGGACAGAGAGAAGGAGAAGGAGAGGAGUAGGAACAGAGAAUUCUAGAGGAGGAAGAACAAGCGGCUGGAGCCGAAAUCGCCAUGGGAAGAUGGAAUUGGAGAGCAGAGGAGAGAAAUCGAGAAGCUAGGGUUUGAAAUUUUUUUGGAGAAGGAGAAGAUUUGGGGAUAGAGUGAGAUUGUAUAGUGAUGUUAUCUCUUUAGAAGAAAAAUA